rnacentral:rRNA from 1 species
CUACGGGAGGCAGCAGUGGGGAAUUUUCCGCAAUGGGCGAAAGCCUGACGGAGCAACGCCGCGUGAGGGAUGAAGGCCUCUGGGCUGUAAACCUCUUUUCUCAAGGAAGAAGAUCUGACGGUACUUGAGGAAUAAGCCACGGCUAAUUCCGUGCCAGCAGCCGCGGUAAUACGGGAGUGGCAAGCGUUAUCCGGAAUUAUUGGGCGUAAAGCGUCCGCAGGCGGCCCUUCAAGUCUGCUGUUAAAACGUGGAGCUUAACUCCAUCACGGCAGUGGAAACUGUUGGGCUUGAGUGUGGUAGGGGCAGAGGGAAUUCCCGGUGUAGCGGUGAAAUGCGUAGAUAUCGGGAAGAACACCAGUGGCGAAGGCGCUCUGCUGGGCCAUAACUGACGCUCAUGGACGAAAGCCAGGGGAGCGAAAGGGAUUAGAUACCCCUGUAGUCCUGGCCGUAAACGAUGAACACUAGGUGUCGGGGGAAUCGACCCCCUCGGUGUCGUAGCCAACGCGUUAAGUGUUCCGCCUGGGGAGUACGCACGCAAGUGUGAAACUCAAAGGAAUUGACGGA